CAGCAGGGGAAGUACGGGGACCGCCCGGCUGUCCAUAGCGAUACGCCCAAAGGUAGACGGAGCUACAUCCACGCGUCCUGCUGCCAACCACCUAACUGCCAACUACCAACCGCUGGCGCUACCUACCGACGCACAACUGGCGGGGUCCGACGAGGCCGUUGUAGGUCUUGUUGCAGUUCGGUAUGCUUUGAGGAUACACAACCGCUUCCUGCAACCGCCGCAUUCGCAAACCGUCUCAACCGUCGUCAUCAUUAGCGACAUAACCAGGAUGCAGGAGCCGAUGCAGGAGCGAGUGGGAGGUCAGUGAGAACAUGGGCACGUGGGCAGCAGCAGCGAGCAGCACCAGCAGCAGAGCACGUCUAGGGACGGCACCGAGGAGAGGGGUGCUGACCUAGGUGCCAGGGGGCUUAGAGGAGGAGGGCUAGAGGAGGAGGGCUAGAGGAGGCGGGCUAGAGGAGGCGGGCUAGAGGAGGAGGGCUAGAUGAGGAGGGCUAGAGGAGGCGGGCUAGAUGAGGAGGGCUAGAGGAGGCGGGCUAGAGGAGGCGGGCUAGAGGAGGAGCGCUAGAGGAGGAGGGCUAGAGGAGGCGGGCUAGAUGAGGAGGGCUAGAGGAGGCGGGCUAGAGGAGGCGGGCUAGAGGAGGAGGGCUAGAGGAGGCGGGCUAGAGGAGGCGGGCUAGAGGAGGCGGGCUAGAGGAGGAGGGCUAGAGGAGGCGGGCUAGAUGAGGAGGGCUAGAGGAGGCGGGCUAGAGGAGGCGGGCUAGAGGAGGAGGGCUAGAGGAGGCGGGCUAGAGGAGGCGGGCUAGAGGAGGAGCGCUAGAGGAGGAGGGCUAGAGGAGGAGGGCUAGAGGGUUCAGGCACAGAAACGGAAGCAGAAGCAAGGGGGUAGUAAGGGUGGGUUUGUCCAGGCAUCAGGGGCCACGGUAUUUCCAACAUCACCUCUUCUUUUUCGCCGUCUUCACCACUACCUACCCUGAGCGUCGACAAACACAUGUGUUCUGUGCGUUCAGUCAAUGUCAAAGUCAGGUACGGUACUCCAUACCUAUCAUUUGCGCCCUCCGUUUAAUGUUCAGUACUACGCACGCUUUCCAUACAAUAACGCGUACGGCAGGUCAUAGAUUUAUUAUCAUGUUUCGUACCUGGAGGGUGUGGUAGUUGCCGGUUCCCUCCUGCUUGGCUCCGAAACCCACGACCGUUA
rnacentral:lncRNA from 1 species